rnacentral:lncRNA from 1 species
UUGUGUUGUGUAGAGCGUAGAGUUAGCUCAAUUCUGGACUCGGUGGAUUCCGGUUGAUCCAGCAGGUCGCUCUACACCAGUGGGAGCCCUUCGCUGCCAGGGUUUAGUUUUGAGGUGGGUUUACAUCGGUUUUGACUCCUAAGUUCUAAUUGUCGACAUGUAUAAAUUUCGAUUUUUGAUAUAGUCUUUUCUAGCUGGAAUUCAUGAAUUAUAUUAUAGAUGACAAAUUUGAAUUUGGAGCAUGUGGUAAUAAAUUGAGUAGUUUAUACAUGUUGGACUUGGAAUUUGAAUUAGGAGAAAACCUGCGAUUUGGACCUGUCACUUGUUUAAACUGCCUGAUUUAGCUCUAGGAGCCGUUAUAAAAUUGUACUGUCGUCGUAUCCUCGAGACGAGUGCUUCAGGUGGUUUAGCAUACAAUUACGCUCGUGCUGGUACGCCGAGUGGAUUUUUGCAGGGUCUUUUGAGCUGUUCCGAACUGUUGGGUGCCGUCAGAGUUGACGGUGGACCCGUAUCGCCUUUUUGGCGUCAGAUUGUGCCGAGGGCACGUGAACUGUUGGUUAUUAGACUAGUUAGAGUCGGUUACUUGACUUUGGCUUUUCAGAGCCUGAUUGAGCUCGACAGAGAUACGCUGCAUACUCGGUUGGGUAGCGCCCACGAGUGCCACUCCGGAGACGGGCUUUGUGCUUUCGCGUUGGUGUCGCUCAUGCCGGUUGGACUUGCUCUCCACGAACCAGUUAGUGUGGAGGUAGCUGGAUAGUCGUAACUGGGCAGGGACGGGUGUGUUCACAGUCCCAGGGACGGGUAGGUUUACAGUCCCGAUUGGAUUGUGUGAGAUUUGACAUUUCCUACAGUUGGUUAAUGUAGAGCAUGAUAGUGUAGUGUUUGAUAGCGGUAGAGUUUACUUCGUGCUUUUCCGACUAUUCU